rnacentral:rRNA from 1 species
GACGAACGCUGGCGGCGUGCUUAACACAUGCAAGUCGAACGGAAAGGCCCUGCUUUUGUGGGGUGCUCGAGUGGCGAACGGGUGAGUAACACGUGAGUAACCUGCCCUUGACUGUGGGAUAACUUCAGGAAACUGGGGCUAAUACCGGAUAGGAGCUCCUGCUGCAUGGUGGGGGUUGGAAAGUUUCGGCGGUUGGGGAUGGACUCGCGGCUUAUCAGCUUGUGGGUGGGGUAGGGGCUUACCAAGGCUUUGACGGAUAGCCGGCAUGAGAGGGUGACCGGCCACAAUGGGACUGAGAUACGGCGCAGACUCCUACGGUAGGCAGCAGUGGGGAAUAUUGCCCAAUGGGCGGAAGCCUGAUGAAGCAACGCCGCGUGCGGGAUGCCGGCCUUCGGGUUGUAAACCGCUUGCGCCUGUGACGAAGCGUGAGUGACGGUAAUGGGUAAAGAAGCACCGGCUAACUACGUG